rnacentral:misc_RNA from 1 species
UCCUCUCUCCCAACCUCUGGUCGGGGCGUUGGACCGAGUUGUGGCAACGCAACUGGUCUCAAAGACAAUGACGGCGUCCGUGGGACCCUCUUCGCAACGAGUCUUUCGAGGCACGCGGGGAGUUGCAAGGCCCCACGGACCCGGUCACACCUUUUAUUUUCUCAA